AGUUAAGUAUAUAAAGUAUAGUAAGGAAGUUAACUGUCGUAGUGUCUAACAUAUUAUCAUGGAUUCUAUUUUUUGAUGUAAGGUUGUUAGUUAAUGAAUCUUGAACAAUGACGAUUAUUGAAAAAUUAAAUAUCCAGACUGAAAUGUGCAGAAGUCAAGAACCUCAACAAAGAGUAUAUGUGCUUGCUGCUGAAAAGUUUUGAAAAGUACACAUUAUCAUAAGCAGUAAAGAAACAAAACGAAAAAAUAUGGGUGAUCAAAGGAAAAGUUUAAUCUUUUCACACGAAAAGCGAGUACAGUUGAGACUGGAGUUUAAGCCAGGAUCAAGCUCCAAACGAGUCCAAAUUCCGUCUUCUGUCCCUGGAGUAUGCUAUCAUGUACCUACAGAACAUUGGCUUACAAAAAGCAAACAGACUUCUGGGAAACUGAAGGUUUCUCCUGAAGAAGUAAGAGUUU